CUCAAAUUGCAUCACCAGUUUAAUGUGGGUUUUAAGCUAAGAUGCUAGAGCUUUUCUCUUUCCUGUCUCAACAAGUACUCUUCGUUCAUGUCUUUAUUAAUUCUUCAAAUAGCUAAACAGCAGCCAAGACUCUGAGGGAUACAAAUUCGAAAGGAUCCCUUGCCUGACUACAAGGUGAUCCCUGUCUGAUAGGGAAGACAGGACAUACACAGAAAGAGUUAAAAUACCAGGUAGAUAGCAAUAGAAACCCUUAAAGGGGAGGCUGAAUAAUCGUGUGUUAUAUACACUCCCGAGGGGGAACGGGUCAUUUCUCUGGGAAGGAAAGAUUAGGAAAGACUUCACAGUGGAGGUGACAUUUGAAGUGGACCUGAAAGAGUGAGGUUGGAUUUGCAUUUUCAGGGGUAGGAGAGUUAAGCAGAGGGAAAAACACACUAGUAAAGGCUGGAGAUGGAAAAGUACAAGACGAGGAAGCGUGAGUUGUUCGCCCGGGUUGCAGCUCUGCAUGCUCAGACGGGAGCACUGAGGAGUACAGCUGAACAGGUGCAUGACUUUCUGCCCAAUUACUUGUUUUCAACCCAUCAGAGCAGGUCAAGCAUGCAGCUCAGAAGUCUCACUGUCACACUUGGCCUGGGUUGCCCUCGUGCACUGUCUCUGUUCCCCGUAUACCGCCUCUGCGUACCCACAGAACAGUAGCUCCACAUCUCCCAGACCCUCAUGUGGAGGCUUGGUUGAAGGUGAAACCUGAACAAGGAUUUUAGCACAGGAUGAAGGACGAAGUGGCAGAGGGGUAAGACCAACCCCCAUCAAACUUCACCAAGUGCUCUGCCCCAGACUCAGCUCUACCAUAUCCUACUCUUACUGGGAGGCCAAGCAGGAAGGACUAAGGUGACUGGGACCUGGGAGAAAGAUCACGAGGAAGCAGAAGGAGCUUCGUUCUGGCCCAGGGAACCAAUCCAGCAACUAUACCCACCACCAAUCCUGGGAGUCACUGGCAGCAAAAAUCAGAACAGGGAAUACAAAGGUGCUGCUCUGCCUCUACUGAGCACCCUCCCCACCUCUAAGCCUCAGUUAUAUCUUCUGUAAAGCGGCGAUUGUGACGCCUACCUUGUGUGUCCUGUUGACUUGUUUGUAAAAGUAGAACACGGCAAGUGAGUAUGAAAGCACUUUAAACAUGUAAAGCACUGUAUUACAGGCUUUUUCUCACUCAGCUGACCCUAUUCAUUAGGAUAGGUAGACAUGAAAAGAAGGAAGAAGAAUCCAGAUGCCAGGGAGCAGAGGCUAUGAAUGUCUCAAUUUUGCAUAAUAGAACUAUGGCCAUUGGCCUUAUGGAGGAUCUAGUCCAGUUUCUCAUUUGACAAGGAAGCUGAGGCCCAAAGAGGGGACAUGAAGGUUCCAUGGUCACAAGAUGAUUCAGAGGACAAACACUGAUCCUACGGGUACCAGGCCAGUCCUUUUUCCACCCCACACCUCUAGUUGUCCAAAACAAACUUCUCCAGAAUGGAGACCACAGGCUCAGAGUCCAGGCAUGCUGGACUCCUGAUUUACUGGUGAGUAGUUACACAACUGAAACUAAGAAAGAGCUUGGCAUGGGACUCGAUAUAAGACACCAUUUCUUUAAACCAUUAGGUUUAGAAUCCUGGAUAAUCAUUUCCUAAGAUCCAGAGUAUUCAUGUCCUGAAGAGGAAGACUCAGUUUCAAAUUUCCUAGUGCCCUUUUCUCCUCUGUCCCCAUGAAUUAUUUGGGCUCUGGGAUAGGAGGAAAAGGGAUGAUUCCUCUGACUAGCUAGUGGCUGCUCAGUAUCGAAGGCAUAGAGGGUGGCAACCCUCCAGCAAACAUGUAUAACUACCCUACCUUGUUUCAUCUUCAUGACAACCUCAAGCAGUAAAUCAUCUCAGUACCCUCAGUUCACACACACACACACACACACACACACACAUCACAGAACUCAAGUGUCUUGAGUCACGGGCCACUGCCAGGUUGUCUCUCUCAAGACCUCCCCAAAGUACAGCAAGGGUUUUUAUUUUUUAUAGGAAACUACAGCCUCUACUUCAAAUGCUUUUAGAAUGAGCUCUUCCAUAGUAUCAGAACUGUUGAACGACAUGACUGUUUUACCCAUGAGAUUCUAUAAAUACAGACUCCCUCUGUUUUAUCCACUAGCUUGGAUGUUUCUGUCUUCUGAUUAAUUCAUCAUUGCACAAGCAUUUUCAGAGAACAGCAUUGCGCUGUGAUCUGAAGGGCUGAACUAUACCCCUGCCUGCAAGGUUUUGAAGUUUGGUGAUUGUCCAGGGAGCACAAUGUCAGACAGCUCCAAUCAGAAGAGGACAAGUGUGUCACAAGAGAGGUCAAAAUGUGUACGCGGGCUAUAGAGAUAGAAGAGGGGAGAAGGGAGUGUGUCUGCCUAACUAGAGGGUCUAAGGAAUUAAGCGAGGCAAGCAGGGCUGAGUGGUCUGGGCAGAGGGUAGGAUACAGGAGGAAGAGAAGUUGGAGUUCAGGCCAGAAAGAGUCUGAGGCUGAUGUUUGGAGGGCUCUGACACUGUACUAAGGUGCUUGUUUCUUUCCAGAGUUUGCCAGUCCUGGAUGUGCCCAGACAUAGGUGGUGCCCUUGCAUGACUUCUUAGACCCUCAGUUUCCCCUUCUGUAGAAUGGAAGACAUGGAUGUUGCCUAUAAGGCACCUGUGUGAGGGUGGGCCAGGGGAAAGUAGUGGCACAACGCUUUGAGCUCCUCCAGAAUACAAUGCAAAGGGAAUGCAAAUCACAGUUAUUUAUAAUGGCAGCAAACUGAGAUGCUGAGAAGACAGUGCUGCGGGCCGCCAAGCACUCCCUCUGGAAAUCCUGAAAACCUGCUACUGCAGGGCUGUGCCCAGAUCCCAGCUGGAAGCAGGCUUAUCUCUUCUCAGUUCCUGGUGCUUCUUCCGAUCCUGCCAGGAUGUUCCUCAUGAAACAAACACUAAUCUCCCUGCAUAGUUCCACCUACAGAGGAGGAAGCUCUGCACCCUUCUGCCCUCCCCUUUUAGAAAACUAAGCUGGGUUCUAAACUCCCAGGUCGUGACAAGUUCCCAUUUUGUGUCAUCAUUGCCUUACCAGGUAGCCCUAUCAAGGCUAGACCUUUGGAUCUGGGAAUGGCACGGCUUAGGAGGCUAAUGGGACAAGCAACCUGAUGUCCUGUUCACCUCCAAAGGCAGCCCUUCACUUCUAGAGCUGCCUCUUCCUUGUGCCAGGCUUGUGUUGGACACAAAGGACUCAUCCAAGGAGGUGAUGGACAAGGCAGGACAGUCAGGGGUGUGGCCCAGAAGGAGAGACAGGGAGCAGGGUCCUAACAUCCACAGAAUUUCCUUUUUUAAUGAAGGAAGGAAAGGAC
rnacentral:lncRNA from 1 species